GCAGAGCCGCCGAACUGACAGAAGCUGUAGUUUUUGCAUAAAAGAGCGAAAUAUUAAAUGCUCUUCAGCUCUGCCACGUUUUGACUCCUCUGCCUUUGGGUGUUUAUUUUGGGGAAAGUGAGGCAUGACCGAAGUGGGGACGUAUAGAACGGCUUCUCUUCAGGAAGUUUAAAGAUACACAAAAGGACGCAACGGUUGUUUGGGUUACGUCAUGCCGGAGCAGCAACACUUCGCGGCGGGGUCACGCAGGAAGUGGAGGUGGGCAGAAUUCAAAUGCAGCGGAUUUUGACUUCACAUCUUUGACCAAAAGGAAACAUGCAGACGGGCGGCGGGCCGCGCCUGGAGUCUGAACCUGGGGUGACCUGAUAACCGGCUGCGAGGUUCAGCAGGGGGAGACUUUUUUUUCCAGGAAAUGGAUAGUUGUUCUCUGCCCUGCUGACCCAGGACACUCAUUGCUGUUUACACAACACUGUGCACAGUUACUGCACAGUGUUAAAAGAAAAAGUGCAGCAGUGUCUGGAAACUACCAAGAAUCAGAGGCAAUUUAU